GAAGGUGGCCUGUGAGGGUUGCUGGAGGUAUCAGAAGUGCGAAUGCUGACAUAAGUAACGAUAAAGCGGGUGAAAAGCCCGCUCGCCGGAAGACCAAGGGUUCCUGUCCAACGUUAAUCGGGGCAGGGUGAGUCGACCCCUAAGGCGAGGCCGAAAGGCGUAGUCGAUGGGAAACGGGUUAAUAUUCCCGUACUUGGUGUUACUGCGAAGGGGGGACGGAGAAGGCUAUGUUGGCCGGGCGACGGUUGUCCCGGUUUAAGCGUGUAGGUGUGUGUUCCAGGUAAAUCCGGUUCACUUUAACACU
rnacentral:rRNA from 1 species